CAUGUUUCCAAGGGAAGCUACUCUUGUUAUAGAGGGCGCUGUUACUCACGCGCGUCUUUUCAAGCAGACGACGAAAGGAUGAUGCGUGGAGGGCUGAGGGAAAACCUAUUUUGCGAAAAUCAGAUGUUUAGCCAUUGCCUAUUGGCAAACAUGGAUGAGCUGAAUGAACUCUUAGCAGCUUUUCCAAAAUCGAGCAACUGAGAGAGAACUGAAGCUGAGGAGGAAGCCUGCAGCUGGGCUCUUACAAGCCACUGACAAGUACAUGGUGACCUGUGUAAAAGAAUGGCUUCGAGUUCCAGGAGCAAGGCUUAGAAAUGGCAUAAGGAAAACGCGUACUGAAAAACAGAGAUGUAGAUAGAGAAUCUGCAAACGAAAGUGCUGAAUUGCAACGGAACAAAGAAAUCCAAAAUGUUGGUGUUGACAACAUAUUUUUCACAGGGUUAUGACCCUUGUUUUUGAACUUGGUACAUAUUCUGCCAGGUUCUCUUGGACACUACUGAAGUUAAUAAAUGAAACUUUCCGUGCUUACCUAAGGUACAAACUCCAGAAGAUGGUUAUAACUUAUAAGAACUAAUUUUGUAUGGAGUUAUGGCCUUUGCUUCAUGCUAUUUUAGGGGGGGGGGGGGGAGUUUGUCUUGCAAACGAAUUUGAAGCCACAUAAAUGAAAUUUUGCAGGCCAAUAGGAGGGGUAUAUGUUUAGACUGUGUUUUAAAACAGGUUUUGAGAAUAUAUGUUUCACAUCCGCCUUGUUGCAGGUAGUAACACUGUUUUCUUGUAAAUAAUAAUUAAUUAAUAAUAAAGUUUAUUAUUCUA